rnacentral:rRNA from 1 species
UGCCAGUAUAAUAUGCUUGUUUCAAAGAUUAAGCCAUGCAAGUGUUAGAACCUCAUCGCAUCUGGUUUACUGGGUGUUGAUUUGGGAAUCUGUGGAUUGCUCAUUAUAAGAGUUAUAUACUCAGCCACUGGUAGUUGUGACGUAAGAAGCAUACAUGGAUAAUGCAGCUAACUGCCGCAAUAAUACAUGAAUUAAAAAGGGAAUCGCCGAUUCUAAGUGGUAAUAAGCGUCGAAUCGCUUUUAUCAGAGCAAUAUUGCUGGCAGCGCAAGUUGUCAGUGAAUUGUGAUUGACCGACUUAAACAAAUAUGGGUUUGAUAAACGGCUUUUAAUAGGGUUGUUGAGUUGAAUUCAGAAAGUUGGCCCAGAGGAAGUGUUUCUUACCUAUCAGUUAGUAGUUUCAGUAAGGGUCAAACUUGACUUUUACGGGUACGGGGAAUUAGUGUUCAAAUCCGGAGAGGGAGCCUGAGAAAUAGCUACCACAUCUAAGGACGGCAGCAGGCACGAAAAUUAUCCACUGCUAAUUCAGCGAGAUAGUGACGAGAAAUAACGACCUUCAAACGAAGGGUACCAGUAAAAUGGUUUGGAAUGGCGGUAGAUCAAAAUUCUAUCAGAGUAACAAUUAGAGGAUUAGUCUGGUGCCAGCACCCGCGGUAAUUCCAGCUCUAAUAGUGUAUUUUAAAGUUGUUGCAGUUAAAACGCUCGUAGUCUAUCUAAAAGUUUACGCACUGAUUAUCAACUGUGAUCAAAUCAGAGAGAUUCAAUCAGGCAAUGAUGUUUGCAAAAACUUGCCCGAAUGGUUCAGCAUAGCACUGAAAUCAAGUCCCUUUUGGGACGAAACGAAUGGAAGAUAGGGAAAGGGAACAAGUAUUGUCUCGCUAGAGGUGAAAUUCAGAGAACGUGCCAAGACUAGCAGACGCGAAAGCGGUGUCCCGUCACAUCUUCGUCGAUCAGGAACGAAAGUUGGGGGAGCGAAAAUGAUUAGAUACCGUUGUAGUCCCAACUGUAAACUAUAUUGACAAGGGAUUGGC